rnacentral:rRNA from 1 species
GACGAACGCUGGCGGCGUGCUUAACACAUGCAAGUCGAACGGAAAGGCCCUGCUUUUGUGGGGUGCUCGAGUGGCGAACGGGUGAGUAACACGUGAGUAACCUGCCCUUGACUUUGGGAUAACUUCAGGAAACUGGGGCUAAUACCGGAUAGGAGCUCCUGCUGCAUGGUGGGGGUUGGAAAGUUUCGGCGGUUGGGGAUGGACUCGCGGCUUAUCAGCUUGUUGGUGGGGUAGUGGCUUACCAAGGCUUUGACGGGUAGCCGGCCUGGGAGGGUGACCAGCCACAUUGGGCCUGAGGUACGGCCCAGACUCCAACGGGAGGCAGCGGUGGGGAGUAUUGCACAAUGGGCGGAAGCCUGAUGCAGCAGCGCCGCGUGCGGGAUGACGGCCUUCGGGUUGUAAACCGCUUUCGCCUGUGACGAAGCGUGAGUGACGGUAAUGGGUAAAGAAGCACCGGCUAACUACGUG